AAGCUGACAUGGCUGAUGGAAAUCAUGACUUGCUGUUAUAAAUGUGCAAAACUGCUUGCUCUUUUUGGAAGCAGGAGGAAGGUAUCAGUAUAUAUUACUGCAUAAGACAGAAAGCAGGAAAUUUCCAGGAAUUACUAUUAGAUUUUUAAUCUAUUUUCUUUCUGUUAUUCCACACAAACCUGUGGGUUAUAUCCUUCUAUCUGCAUGGUUACUGUGAGUUUUGUCUGGGAAAGGUCAACAAAUGUACUUGCUUUUGUGUUUGUCUUUGCAGGUUUGAAAUUUCCAGCUUCUAGUAAACUAACUAUGUGUAUGAUAUUAAUUAAAAAUACGGAUCUAUAUGCCCUAAGCAAGGAGUCACGUGAAUCAGCCUAGCUACAGGGUCAUUCUACCAGGCAAAAAAAAAGAAAACUCUAGGCAGCCAAUUUUUCACUGAAGCCAAAAUUUCAAGUGUCUUUUAUAAGAACCAUAGGAGUUUUAGUGUUGUUAGAUGAUAAGAUCAGAAUCAAUUCUUAGAAAAAAUAACCAGUGCUAUGUUUGAAUGCUGCAUCAUUUCUGCCUCUCCUCACAAGUGGGACUACUGCCUCACCAUUUCCCCACAUAGCUUAAGAUUUUCUGGUAUGACAGAAUAUCUGGGACAAAAGGCUGGAUUCACUGGAGGACUUGUUACCUGACUGCCCUUCAAGGUGCCAAAAUCAUAUAUCAUUAAGGGUUUCCCAAAACUCUCAUGAGUUUCUCUAUAGUGUACAGUCCCUUGGUACCUCACUGGUAAUGGAAAAUUCCUACUUUUCCAAAGGAAAAAUUGAUGCUCAGCCUUCCAGCCUGUGUCUCAAACCUCGCUCUGGCAAGACUUCCAAUUGAGGCCUUCCUAUCUGUAUCUCACCUGAAGGUCAGAAGUACUCACAUCUUUACAUGCAACAAUCUUCUGGGGAGGAGCAUUUGUCUGGGGGUCAGUCACCCUCCACCGAAGCCUUCAGCUACAUCCAAAGGACAAGUUGCUUAAGGCCUCUCUUCAGUGUAUAGACAUGUCUUUAAAAGCAUGCUGACAUGGACUCUCAGGAAUCCCUCUUCCUAGCAGGACCUUGAAGUCCUGCUAACUCAAGUGCAGUUGAGAGUUACUCAAGAUGAGGCCUAUGGAAGUCUCCUAGGCAGCUGCCCCAUUGCUGGAGGACUGACCACAAGGGAGCAGCCAGAAAUCACAGUUUCAGGGAAAUGUGACAAAAAGCAGACUAAUUUGAUCUCCCAGACACUUGUCUGACCAGAAAUACUUGGAUAAAUAAUUAUUAAUAAUAAUUGCAUAAUAAAUGUGUUGAUUACAGAACUUUCUCUUUUCUC
rnacentral:lncRNA from 1 species